rnacentral:rRNA from 1 species
GACGAACGCCGGCGGCGUGCUUAACACAUGCAAGUCGAACGGAAAGGCCCUGCUUUUGUGGGGUGCUCGAGUGGCGAACGGGUGAGUAACACGCGAGUAACCUGUCCUUGACUUUGGGGUAACUUCAGGAAACUGGGGCUAAUACCGGAUAGGAGCUCCUGCUGCACGGGGGGGGUUGGAAAGUUUCGGCGGUUGGGGAUGGACUCGCGGCUUAUCAGCUUGUUGGUGGGGUAGUGGCUUACCAAGGCUUUGACGGGUAGCCGGCCUGAGAGGGUGACCGGCGUCAUUGGGACUGAGAUACGGCCCAGACUCCUACGGGAGGCAGCAGUGGGGAAUAUUGCACAAUGGGCGGAAGCCUGAUGCGGCAGCGCCGCGUGCGGGAUGACGGCCUUCGGGUUGUAAACCGCUUUCGCCUGUGACGAAGCGUGAGUGACGGUAAUGGGUAAAGAAGCACCGGCUAACUACGUG